ACCUCUCGAGAAUACGAGAAAAAGGAACGCGAUCCAAGAGAGCAAUCCAUAUAGAGAGUAUGAGAAAGGGCAAGAGCAUCGUGUGUGAUGCCGCACGGAGCGGAGUACCAGUCGGAAGGAGCACCCGGAAAAUAAAUCAAGGCCGUCGAGACCCCCGUUGAAGCUAAAGAAAUGUGCCACGUGCGUGCAUGUGCAUGUGUGUGUCACUGCGUUGCAUCCUCUUUUAGAGAAUUCUUUGUCCGAACAAUCGUUUCAAAUGUUACAGAGAAAAGUUUCGUUAUAAUCGACAAGAGUGAAAAAUAUUGGAAUUUUUAAAAACCACAGAGCGAAGGCAAUCCUCUUUCCCUCAGCGCUUUUUUGGUCUUCGAUUUUUUAACAUUCUCCAAAACAAAUCAACGUGCGAAAUGGCACGUCGCUCUACCACCUGGGGACCUGGGAUUCGUUCCAACAGUGGUUUUCCACCGCACAUUGCUAUAUACAACGUGAGACUGGUACACUCGCGAAUAAAAGUUUGUCAAGCGUCGAAUAUUCAAUUUCGAAUAUCCAUUCGAGCCAAACAAUCCCGCGACGUUUCACAACGACGCUUUAAACCUGAUUCGAACGACUCGUUAAUCGGAAUUUAACGAAAAAUU